AGAACGUCUCAACAUACUCGCCGUAGAAUCUGCCACUGGGCUGGCCCGACGGCGUCUGGUAGAGAAAAUAAAAACAGCUGUUCAUCAUCUUCAAACUGAAUAUUAUCUCCUUGUUGACUUAAAGGUAAAUAAGUGUUGAGCGUCAUGGCGACCAGCGAGACCAGCACAAGUAUGGAGGAGGCGACCCCCAUCAGCUUGGCAGAGACCGAGGAGAACGGUUUCUCCAUCAGGUUCCAGAUUUUCCUUCGGGUUGGUCCGAAGGCCAUGCCGUGAAAUACCGCCUCGUUCUCCUCCAUCUCCACCUAGAGGACACGAGACAGAAAUAUGGUUACAGAAUGGAAACAAGAAAAAAAGUUUCAUUGCAAUACAUUUAAAAACAGUCCAAAUAUGGCCUAAUGUUGAAAUUAAAUGUUGAAUUUUUUUCCCUAGACUAUCUAAGGAUAAAAACAGAAACAAAACAGAUUACUCAUUAAGUGUAAAAUAAAAGAGCACAUAAAAACUAUGUAUGUAUAUAAGUAAUGUGUAAAUUAAAGGUUUAAAAAAACUAAUUUAAACGAGGACAAAGCGAAACAAGCAAGCAAACAAAAUGUCACGAAAACACAACUGGUCCAACAAACUGCAUCAGAGUGGGACCUCUGUGAUGGCAACAUCUGUCUCAGCCUGUGCCAAGAAAAAGCUUAUUCUCCACUCUCCAUCUGUCGAGACGGCAGAGCGGAGAGCUGAUAUAUAAUGUAGGUCAGACAGACUCAGAGUCAGCCAGCAGUUUACUGACUAAAAUCUCACAGGUAAAAAUAAAAACUGCUGAGCUGAUAAAGCUACUCAGUGAUGACUUCUUGACAUUUUUAUUUGCAGCAUUUACAUAUGGAGCCUGGAGGGGGGGAAUGUAAUAAUUAGUGCACACAAAAUACUAAGUCAAUACAUAGUUCAUAGGGACUAGUUCCAACUGGGUCAUGUUACUUUUGUUCUUACUCUGUAAUGGAUGUGAUUUGAAAUGUCGUGAAGUGCAAUAAGAAUGAAAAUUCUAUAUACAAAAUAUCAAGAAGUACACACACUAAAUGCUAACAUCAGCAUUGUGCUAACUCACAAUGACCUGCUAAUAUGCUAAUGUUUUCAGCGGUGUAUAAAGACCCUUUAUAAUGAA